CUUUCAAUUGGGAAGAAAAAAAUGACGGUACCAAUAGAAGAAGCGACGGCUAAAUACGUGCCAGCAGCCGCGGUAAUACGUAUGUCGCAAGCGUUAUCCGGAUUUAUUGGGUUUAAAGGGAGCGCAGGCGGACUCUUAAGUCAGUUGUGAAAUACGGCGGCUCAACCGUCGGACUGCAGUUGAUACUGGGAGUCUUGAGUGCACACAGGGAUGCUG
rnacentral:rRNA from 1 species